AUUGAACGCUGGCGGCAGGCCUAACACAUGCAAGUCGAGCGGAUGAGUGGAGCUUGCUCCAUGAUUCAGCGGCGGACGGGUGAGUAAUGCCUAGGAAUCUGCCUGGUAGUGGGGGACAACGUUUCGAAAGGAACGCUAAUACCGCAUACGUCCUACGGGAGAAAGCAGGGGACCUUCGGGCCUUGCGCUAUCAGAUGAGCCUAGGUCGGAUUAGCURGUAGGUGAGGUAAUGGCUCACCUAGGCGACGAUCCGUAACUGGUCUGAGAGGAUGAUCAGUCACACUGGAACUGAGACACGGUCCAGACUCCUACGGGAGGCAGCAGUGGGGAAUAUUGGACAAUGGGCGAAAGCCUGAUCCAGCCAUGCCGCGUGUGUGAAGAAGGUCUUCGGAUUGUAAAGCACUUUAAGUUGGGAGGAAGGGCAGUAAGUUAAUACCUUGCUGUUUUGACGUUACCAACAGAAUAAGCACCGGCUAACUUCGUGCCAGCAGCCGCGGUAAUACGAAGGGUGCAAGCGUUAAU
rnacentral:rRNA from 1 species